GGCGGCGCCGCCCUAUCCCUAAGAGACCCACCUCAGCGCUCACGAUGGGCCUGACCCCAUCACCUCUGCGUCCUCAGCGGGUCCCAACAGUUUACACAAGGUCUGAACAACCAGGUGGACGUGGGGGGGGAGAGGAGUUCACCGUCUCUACCUGGGUUCGGAGGGUCAGGGUCACCUGGACGUGAAGCAUCACGUCGCCGUCCGUGGCCGACCAACCCCUGCAUCUGUAGACUGGCUCAGCCAAUCAGACGCACACGGUGAAGUACAUCCCCCCCGAGGAGGGACAGUACAGAGUGGAACGUCCAGCCCGAGGACCCCCCGUCCGCAGAAGUCCCUUCACCGUGGAGGGUGUCCUCCCCCCCGACCCGUCCAAGGUGCGAGCCUACGUCCCGGGCCUGCAGGGGGGGGUUGUGGGUAAACCGGCGGCCUUCGCCAUCGACACCAAGGGGGCGGGGACCGGCGGUCUGGGCCUGACGGUGGAGGGACCCUGCGAGGCCAAGAUCGAGUGCCAGGACAACGGGGACGGGUCCUGCUCCGUGUCCUACCUGCCCACCGAGCCUGGCGAGUACGCCAUCCACAUCCUGUUCGCCGAGGUCCACGUCCCCGGGUCCCCGUUCCGGGC